rnacentral:rRNA from 1 species
UGCGCUCGAGCGAAUGGAUUCAGAACUUGCUCUUAUGAAGUUAACGGCGGACGGGUGAGUAACGCGUGGGUAACCUGCCCAUAAGACUGGGAUAACUCCGGGAAACCGGGGCUAAUACCGGAUAACAUUUUGAACCGCAUGGUUCUUAUUGAAAGGCGGUUUCGGCUGUCACUUAUGGAUGGACCCGCGUCGCCUUAGCUAGUUGGUGAGGUAACGGCUCACCAAGGCAACGAUGCGUAGCCCACCUGAAAGGGGGAUCGGCCACACUGGGACUGACACCCGGCCCAAACUCCUACGGGAGGCAGCAGUAGGGAAUCUUCCGCAAUGGACGAAAGUCUGACGGAGCAACGCCGCGUGAGUGAUGAAGGCUUUCGGGUCGUAAAACUCUGUUGUUAGGGAAGAACAACUGCUAGUUGAAUAAGCUGGCCUCUUGACGGUACCUAACCAUAAAGCCGCGGUUAACUACAUGCCAACACCCGCGGUAAUACUUAGGUGGCAAGCGUUAUCCGGAAUUAUUGGGCGUAAAGGGCGCGGGGGUGGUUUCUUAAGUCUGAUGUGAAACCCCACGGCUCACCCCUGGAGGGGCAUUGGAAACUGGGAAACUUCAGUGCAAAAAAGGAGAGUGGAAUUCCCUGUGUAGCGGUGUAAUGCGUAGAGAUAUGGAGGAACACCAGUGGCGAAGGCGACUUUCUGCUCUGUCACUCACCCUGAUGCGCUACAGCGUAGGAGAGAAAACAUGAUUACAUACCCUGGUCCUCCACUCUAUACACUAUAAGCCUCACUGUAAAGGGUUUCUCCCUCCUUUUGUGCUCAAGUUAACGCAUUACGCACUCCCCCCCGCGAUGAGACCUGCAGCGUUGACAUCUCACAGAAUAGACA